rnacentral:rRNA from 1 species
GCGAAUCUCGAAAGCCUAUCUCAGUUCGGAUUGGAGGCUGAAACCCGCCUCCAUGAAGUUGGAUUCGCUAGUAAUCGCGCAUCAGCCAUGGCGCGGUGAAUACGUUCCCGGGCCUUGUACACACCGCCCGUCAAGCCAUGGGAGCUGGGGGUGCCUGAAGUUCGUGACCGCAAGGAUCGACCUAGGGCAAAACCGGUGACUGGGGCUAAGUCGUAACAAGGUAAC